rnacentral:lncRNA from 1 species
GCCUUCAACAAUGAGUAAAGCCUAUACCGCAUAGUCAGCUAUAAAAGGCCCCGAUAAGACAAUGUAAAACAAUUCAAACGAGAAAACUAACGGCCUUAUUUAUGUAAAAAAAAUGAACGAAAAACAAAUAUGUAACACAUAAACAAACGACAACCACUGAAUAUACAGGCUCCUGACUUGGGACAGGCACAUACAUAAAUAAUGUGGCGGGGUUAAACAUGUUAACGGGAUCCCAACCCUCCCCUAACCUGGGACAGUGGUAUAACAAUACAACAUAAGAACGAACUAUAAAAAUCAGUUGAAAAAGGCUUAACUCAUCAGAUGGACAAAAAUAUAAGUGGACGUGGCCGGGUACUUAUACAUCCCGACACAAAAAGACACAAUGAACAGAUCUGAGAGUACUCGCAGUUAUCUGACAGCUAGUUCAAAGCCACUAACAACUAAUAAAAAAAUCAUGCAUCUAAGAC